CAUACCAGUUGAAAAAGUAUACAACCCAAGGUAUUGCAAAUGGGGUAUGUCCAUUCUUUUUUAGUAGCCACUUUGUCACAAACACUGGCCAAAGUUAGUGUUCGUAUUUGUUUGUGUGUGAAAAAUGCAAAAAACUAAUUUGAACGGCAAUUUUGGCCAGUGUUUGUGACUAAGUGGCUACUAAAAAAGACUGGACAUACCCAAUUUGCAAUACCUUGGGUUGUAUACUUUUGCAAAUGGUAUG